AAGAUUUCCCCCCCACAUCUCUUCAAAAACAAAAAAAAAAAAAACAUUUUUUGGAAAUCGACCUACGAUGACGAAGUAUUUUUUCGUUUUAUCUGACAGCGUAAGGUUAAGAAGUUCAUUUCUUAUUUUGUCUUAUGGCAUAUUAGAAAUGAUGUUUCUUCGAAAAUCAUUCGCUUACAACGGAUAAAACGACUUCUGAGUGGU